GGCUUGGAGAGCUUCAGCUUUGUGCCCAGCGGCAGCUUCUACAGAGAGACCAAGAUGAACACAGAGCCUGAGAGGAAGUUUGGUGUGGUGGCAGUCGGCGUUAGCAGAGCCGGCUCCGUACGGAUCUGGGACCUGCGGAAUCCACACGCUUCCUCAGAGUUCCUGAACCUGAUUGGCUUCGUGUCCAGACGAGAGCUGGGGAGCAUUGACGAGGUGCCGCAACUUUCUCUGGAAGAUGCUCUUUCCAGUCAAGAGGUCGAGGUUGCUUUUAUCUGCAGUGAGAGCUCUAGCCACGAGGACUACAUCAGGCAAUUCCUGAAUGCUGGAAAGCAUGUCCUUGUGGAAUACCCCAUGACACCGUCUUGGGUGGCAGCUAAGGACCUGUGGGAGUUGGUCGAGCAGAAAGGGAAAGUCUUGCAUGAGGAGCAUGUUGAACUCUUGAUGGAGGAGUUUGCAUUCCUGAAGAAAGAAGUGGUGGGGAAGGACCUGCUGAAAGGGUCUCUCCUCUUCACAGCUGCCCCAUUGGAAGAAGAGCGGUUUGGCUUCCCUGCAUUCAGCGGCAUCUCUCGCCUGACCUGGCUGGUCUGCCUCUUCGGGGAGCUUUCUCUCAUGUCGGCCACUUUGGAAGAGUGAAAGGAAGACCAGUAUGUGAAGAUGACCGUGUGCUUGGAGACAGAGAACAAAAGCCCGCUGACCUGGACUGAAGAGAAAACACCUGGCCUAAAGCGACGUUUAAACUUCCAUUUCAGAUCUGGGUCCCCGGAGAAUAUGCCCAACGUAGGCAUCGAUAAGAAUAUUUUCCUGAAAGAUCAGAAUAUAUUUGUCCAGAAACUCCUGGGCCAGUUCUCGGAAGAGGAGCUGGCUGCCGAGAAGAAACGCAUCCUGCACUGCCUGUGGCUCGCAGGAGAGAUCCAGAAACACGGCUGCUCGAAGCAGUGA